UCAGGUCUGGCCAUGGUCCGGCUUGGGAUUUCCGACGAGUCUCCGCCGCAGAGCCACCGUGUAUGGCGGCCGGAGGUUCAAAAUCGGACCUUCUUGGUCCUUUUUUGAAGUCCAUGGCCUCCAGGCCACAGAUCCGGGGCUGAAUCUCCUGAAUUGAAAGCCGAAGACCCGAAAAAUGGGGUGAAAUCCUUCGCCUUCCUCCCCCUUCCGGCGCAGCGCAGGUAAGGUUUUUUUUAACUCCUUUUUUACUAUCUUUAUUUAUAUAUAUACAUGAAGAGAAAAGAGAGGAAAAUAAAUAAAAAAAACUUCAAAACUCAAAAGAAAGAGACCUUGAAUCUGCCUUUUUUUUAUUUUCUUUCGAUUGAAUCUGUUUUUCUUUGUUACAAAAGUUGUCAGGGAAGGAGGAGAAGAGAGUUACAUUUUGGCUUUUUUAUAGCCGAUCUUAAUUUCUAUUUUUGUUUUCUUUUUCCUUUCUUUUCUUUGGCUGUUGCGUGUUUGCAGGUGGAGCAAGUGAGGACGAUGGGACAUGCGCGGCGCAAGUGGGGUGAGUCGGUGGUGGCAGUUGCGGCGGCAAUGUCAGAAGGCCCUAGGUGCGGCGCACCUAGGGUUAGGGUUUCUUUUUUUCUGAUUUGUGUUUUGGGUAAUGGGUUUUGCAUUUGGGCUCCGGGAUUGGGUUAGGCUAGUUGGGCCUGGGUAGAUUUUGUUUUUGUUUGGGUUAUGGGUUUUAAUGGGUUAGGUCAAAAUGGGCCUGUACACUAAGUUCUUCAUUUUUUAGGUCAGAUUUAAUUUAGGUAUGGCAAAC
rnacentral:lncRNA from 1 species